rnacentral:tRNA from 1 species
GCGGGUGUAGCUCAAUGGUAGAGCUCUGGCCUUCCAAGCCAGCUGUGAGGGUUCGAUCCCCUUCACCCGCUCCA